rnacentral:rRNA from 1 species
AUUGAACGCUGGCGGCAGGCCUAACACAUGCAAGUCGAGCGGAUGAAGGGAGCUUGCUCCUGGAUUCAGCGGCGGACGGGUGAGUAAUGCCUAGGAAUCUGCCUGGUAGUGGUGGAUAACGUCCGGAAACGGGCGCUAGUACCGCAUACGUCCUGAGGGAGAAAGUGGGGGAUCUUCGGACCUCACGCUAUCAGAUGAGCCUAGGUCGUAUUAGCUAGUUGGUGGGGUAAAGGCCUACCAAGGCGACGAUCCGUAACUGGUCUGAGAGGAUGAUCAGUCACACUGGAAGUGAGACACGGUCCAGACUCCUACGGGAGGCAGCAGUGGGGAAUAUUGGACAAUGGGCGAAAGCCUGAUCCAGCCAUGCCGCGUGUGUGAAGAAGGUCUUCGGAUUGUAAAGCACUUUAAGUUGGGAGGAAGGGCAGUAAGUUAAUACCUUGCUGUUUUGACGUUACCAACAGAAUAAGCACCGGCUAACUUCGUG